GAAAUGCGAUAAGUAAUGUGAAUUGCAGAAUUCAGUGAAUCAUCGAAUCUUUGAACGCACAUUGCGCCCGCCAGUAUUCUGGCGGGCAUGCCUGUUCGAGCGUCAUUUCAACCAUCAAGCCCCCGGGCUUGCGUUGGGGAUCUGCGGCUAACCGCAGGCCCUGAAAACCAGUGGCGGGCCCGCUGUCGCACCGAGCGUAGUAGCAAUCACCUCGCUCAGGGCGUGCCGUGGGCGCCGGCCGUUAAAACGACCAACUUAUACCCCCAAAGGUUGACCUCGGAUCAGGUAGGAAUACCCGCUGAACUUAA
rnacentral:misc_RNA from 1 species